CGGACGGGUGAGUAAUGCAUAGGAAUUUGCCUUGGAGUGGGGGAUAGCCCGGAGAAAUCCGGAUUAAUACCGCAUACCCUCUACGGAGGAAAGUGCGCCUCUUCUUGAAAGCGCACGCUUUGAGAUAAGCCUAUGUCGGAUUAGCUUGUUGGUGGGGUAAAGGCCUACCAAGGCGACGAUCCGUAGCUGGUUUGAGAGGAUGAUCAGCCACACUGGGACUGAGACACGGCCCAG
rnacentral:rRNA from 1 species